AUUGAACGCUGGCGGCAGGCUUAACACAUGCAAGUCGAGCGGAGAUGAGGUGCUUGCACCUUAUCUUAGCGGCGGACGGGUGAGUAAUGCUUAGGAAUCUGCCUAUUAGUGGGGGACAACAUUCCGAAAGGAAUGCUAAUACCGCAUACGUCCUACGGGAGAAAGCAGGGGAUCUUCGGACCUUGCGCUAAUAGAUGAGCCUAAGUCGGAUUAGCUGGUUGGUGGGGUAAAGGCCUACCAAGGCGACGAGCUGUAGCGGGUCUGAGAGGAUGAUCCGCCACACUGGGACUGAGACACGGCCCAGACUCCUACGGGAGGCAGCAGUGGGGAAUAUUGGACAAUGGGGGGAACCCUGAUCCAGCCAUGCCGCGUGUGUGAAGAAGGCCUUAUGGUUGCAAAGCACUUUAAGCGAGGAGGAGGCUACUGAGACUAAUACUCUUGGAUAGUGGACGUUACUCGCAGAAUAAGCACCGGCUAACUCUGCGCCAGCAGCCGCCGUAACAC
rnacentral:rRNA from 1 species